GGGCCGCUAGCUCAGUUGGUAGAGCACUGCCCUUUUAAGGCAGGUGUCCCGGGUUCGAACCCCGGGCGGCUCACAA
rnacentral:tRNA from 1 species